UUCCAGACUCCUACGGGAGGCAGCAGUGAGGAAUAUUGGUCAAUGGCCGUAAGGCUGAACCAGCCAAGUAGCGUGAGGGAAGACUGCCCUAUGGGUUGUAAACCUCUUUUAUGCGGGGAUAAAGGUGUCCACGUGUGGAUGUUUGCAGGUACCGCAUGAAUAAGGACCGGCUAAUUCCGUGCCAGCAGCCGCGGUAAUACGGAAGGUCCGGGCGUUAUCCGGAUUUAUUGGGUUUAAAGGGUGCGUAGGCGGACUGUCAAGUCAGCGGUAAAAUUGCGGGGCUCAACCUCGUCGAGCCGUUGAAACUGGGUGCCUUGAGUGGGCGAGAAGUACGCGGAAUGCGUGGUGUAGCGGUGAAAUGCAUAGAUAUCACGCAGAACUCCGAUUGCGAAGGCAGCAUACCGGCGCUCAACUGACGCUCAUGCACGAAAGUGUGGGUAUCGAACAGGAUUAGAUACCCGGGUA
rnacentral:rRNA from 1 species